GUAGCAAAAAUAGGGUAUUCAACUUAUUAGUAACUUAAAGCUCAAAAAAAACUAAUUAGAAGAAAGGAGGGACAAAAUUGGAUGUCAACAAAUAUUCAUUAUAUUUCUUUCUCUCAAGCCUCCCAUGCAUUGCACGUCUUUAUUCAUUACUUUUAUUACAUAUUGUUACAUUCACCUUCAGGAAUAAAUCUGCAUUCUCAAUGCUUAUCACAAGUCACAUUCUCUUCAAAGGAUGGAGUAUAAUUAUCGCGACGUGCUUUAGAAUUUUUUCAUACCAAUUUGAUGAUAAAUAUUUCCUUCACCUUUAAAAGGAUUACUUCGAGAAUCCUUAUUGUUCUCCUUUUAUAAUUACCACAAUGACGACAAUUAUUAUUUCGUCGCUUGCCAUGCCCUCGUACAUUCAUACAAUCAUGAAAAAUUAUUUUCAUUAGUCAUUAUUAGAUCAUUAAUAUGGUGCAUUGGGACUCAAACCCAAUGCCUUACCAAUAUAAAGAUAUGUAAGGCUAUAAUGUGUUAAAACUCGAAUCCAACUCUUAUCAUUAUUUUGCACCAAGAUUCAAAUCCGAUAUCUUAUUCUUGUGAUUCGUUGGGACUUAAACCCACCGUCUUACCCUCGGUUAAAAGUUCUGGUAUUCACUCUCAAGCAUUUAAAAUAUACCACUUUGUGAUUACAUAUUGUUUUAUAAAUUCUUAUUCAAGCCUCAUUGAGAUGGUGAAAAACAAAUCAAGUAUGACAUACUCAAAUUUUGCCAAAUUUAACAUAACAAAAAUAUUAUAAUAGUACAUAAUUUAGUUUUGCCAUAACUAUGAAAAUAUAAAUAUUAGUUUAUAUAAACUAAAAAUUAUCUGUAUUUGAAAUUGUGCAUGCAUUUGGAGGUGGAAGGAUUACAGAAAUAUAUAAAUUAAAGAAGUUAGAGGAGUAAAUUAUCGCAAUUAUUAAAAAUCAAUUACUAACCCUUUUAUUGCAAACCAUCAUCUUUAAUUUGUAGUGCAGCAAAGAAUAUUAUAAUUGAAUAAUAAUAACAGUUCUAAAUCGGUCUGAAUAUUCUUGGACCAUUAGCAUAUACUAGUUCUGCGUUAAAAUUAAGUGAAGGAAACUUACCUCAUAUAUAUUAUAUGGAAAAAAAAUAAUCAGAUAAGGAAAAUUUAACUACUGCAGGAUUAUGAAACAUUACGAGAGAUGCCCUCAUUUCAAGUGCCAUAUCACACUUCAUCAUGCAUCAUAACAUGGAGAAUGCACCGUGCUGAUCAGGGGCAAAGCUACUUUGGUUGAAGGGUGGUCAAUUAAUCACACCUUACCGAAAACAGAAUGCACCGUGCUGAUUAGUGGCGAAGUUACUUUGGUUGAAGGGUAGUCAACUAAUCAUACCUCACCAAAAAAUUAUACUAUAUACAGGAUAAAAUAUUACUUGUUAUUGAUUAAAAACAGAUCUUUGAACACCUUGCAUGACCCACUAGCAAAGGAUGUUCAAAAUUUGAACACCCUUAUUAAAUUUUAUGGCUUCGCCACUGGUUCUAAUAACGUAUCACAAAACUUAGCUCAAAGUAAUAAAACAAGUAAAUAGACAAGAAUUUAGGGAACAACGGAGAAGCGAUUCUUAUUUCUUGCAUGUAUUCAAGUGUGUACAAUGUGAUGCCCAAACCCUCUAUUUAUAUGAUGAUAUAAGUUAUUCAUAAGGAAUGCCAUGAAUGUGGUAUUAACUAUUGAGAAUAUGGGGGAAGAUUAUGGAGGUGUGGGAGUUACGGAUGAUACAGGUUAUUCAUAAGGAAUGCCAUGAAUGUGGUAUUAACUAUUGAGAAUAUGAGGGAAGAUUAUGUAGGUGUGGGAGUUACAUCCAUAAUAGGAAAAAAUAGUGAGAGGUUAAUGGAGAAGAGUAGUUAGUGUUACCCUCGUAGGAGUUAUGAACAUUGAUGAUAGGCUACAAUUGUAUAUUUUAGUCACUUAUUACACUCAAAUUUACUGCACUUUGAUUGAGUUUGCGUUUUAAUAGCUAGUGUCAUGCACUAACUGUUUGUUUUAUGCCAUGUAGGAGUGAUUCCGAGCUAUAUAGAUGUUAUGGAAUGAAUUCAAGUGACUUAGUGCGUUGAAAUCUGAGUAAAAGCUCAACGAAUUAAGUCGGGAUCGCGUUUGGGGGUCAACGGAUGAUAGUUAGAGCGAACGAAGUAUCCAGUGAGCAGAUUGCGCACUGUCUAGUAAAAUAGGCAUAAAUUUUCGCUCAAAACUCCAUUUUGGCUCCAUAAUAUAUGGUUGGAAAGUUAACUCAAUUAUAUACAAAUUUUAAUUUUAAGUUUAUUGCGCACUGUCGAGUAAAAUAGGCAUAACUUUUCACUCAGAACUUGAUGCGCGCCCAGGUGCGCGACCGCGCUAGUUUGACCCGGGAAAAGUGUCCUUUCCCACAUUGGAGAAGGUAUAAUUGUUUGGGUCCAACCCUACUUGGUAUAUAUAGAUAGUAGAAAGUUUUUGAGAAGAAUUUUAGACCUAGGAAGAGCACAGAGCCGCCGUGGAGGCCGGGUUUCAUCUUUUCUUCCAUCAAACUUAGUAAUUUUAUGUUUCUUUGUAUUAUUUGUUGUUUUUCUACCUUGUCUAUGUGGAGCUAAACUUCAUGUUCUAAGGUUGUGGUCCUUUCAUGACAUAUGAUUUGUUGUUUUGUUACCAUGUCUAUGUGGAGCUAAACUUCCCGUUCUAGGGUUGUGGUUCUUUCAUGACUAUUGUUAUUCGGAUAUUGAUUUUGAUUUCUUAGUUUAUCAUAUUGGUUUAUUUAUUCAAUUUUGCUUAUUUGAUUGCUUGAUCACCAAUUGAAUACUAUCUACAAACCGUGAAUUAAACUCGAAAAUGAGAAUUCUAGAUUGCAUAUAGGAUUGAGUAGAGCAAGUUCUUGAACUUGGGCAUCGGGGAACGGAUCCGCGGUUAGGAUAGACAUAUACCUAAUUGCCUUGCUUGGUUGAUUUAGAGGAAUUAUAAAUGUGUUCUUGUUGAUUCUAACUCCAUAGACAUAUAGGCGUUAGGUUAGAUUGAAUAAGUGAGUAAGAACUCGACAGAUUCUUAUGAGCAAUAUUAACCCCGUCAGCCAAUAAACUAGAUAAAUUAGUUAGUCAAUUCAAUAGAAGAAUACAAUAGGAAUGUUAGAUAGNNNNNNNNNNNNNNNNNNNNNNNNNNNNNNNNNNNNNNNNNNNNNNNNNNNNNNNNNNNNNNNNNNNNNNNNNNNNNNNNNNNNNNNNNNNNNNNNNNNNNNNNNNNNNNNNNNNNNNNNNNNNNNNNNNNNNNNNNNNNNNNNNNNNNNNNNNNNNNNNNNNNNNNNNNNNNNGUUCUUGUUUAGAUAAUUAAGAUAGUCUAAUUUAGUUAAUAGUUAAUCACAAGUACUCAUGGGAUCGACAUCCGACUUUUAGUCACUUUAUUACUUGACGACCGCGUAUACUUGCUUGUGCGUUUGGCCGCAACAAACAUUCACCAUAAUCAAGUAUUUUAUAAUAGAAAAUAAUUAAAGUUACAAUUCUAGAAAUGCAUUUUGAAAAGAGAAAAGGUGUAUUCAAUUAUAGUCUCUUUUUUUUCUUGAAACAAAAAGUUGGCCUUUGAAUUCUUUACUAAGACCUUCUCAAUAGCUUAUAUGGAAACUAUAUUUGUUUCUUUUAUAAAUAUAUAUUAUACAGUAUUAUAAAUAUUCAUUUAGUAAUUCGUUAUAAAUAAGUAUUUUGAAAAAGCUUAUUCAUAAUGGACUCCGCCAUAAAUAUGAUUAUCUAUUUAGUACGCUAUUGAGAAUAAAUUUCCUGAAGAAACUUAUUGUUUCGAUACUUCGUUAUGGAAAAAUAUUACACCCAACAGAAGAUUAUCUAUAUAUGGUACAAUAGUAGUUUACAAGCAACUUACAAGAAGCUCACAGCAGCUUGCAAUAGCAACUUACAAGCAGCUAACACAGCAACUUGCAGUAGCAACUUACACAAUAGCUUGCAGUAACAGCUUACAAAAUAACUUCCUUUCUUCUAUAAAUUAUUACGGAGAUGAAUUUGAAGUUAAAUAAUAAAUCUCUCCCUCUAUUUGUCUUGGAUUUCCUUACUUUAAAGUCUUUAUUUAUAACAAUUUCAUUCAUAUUCAUUAUUGUGACGUUUAAUAUUGUAGAGAGAUUAUGAAGAAGUGGAGGCAAAUGUACUACUAUUGAACUCACAAGUUUUAUAUACAAGUCUAUUAGCGUUUUUUGUUCAACACACAAUUACUAGGUUACGAUUUUAAUUGAACUCAAAAGUUUUAUACACAAGUCUAUUAGCGGUUUUUGUUCAACACACAAUUAUAGUUUCCAAUUUUUUUUUAAAAUUUUAUUACUAGCAUACUUAUUGUCCCUCCACUCUUACGAUGCUGAUACUAUUUGUCCAAUUUUUAUUAUUGUUAAAGAUCUUUUUAUUUCUAAGUCGAGGGUCUCUCAGAAACAACCUCUCUAUCUCCCGGAUAGGGGUAAAAUCUCUGUACACUCUACCUUCGCCAGUCCUCACUAUUAGAAUUAUUAGUUUAUUACUGGAUUGAUAUUGCUGUCGUCGAGGACAUUCCAUUAUUACCAACCCAAGAAGAAUUAUUUGAAAAAAUUAAUUUUGAUCCUGAACCGUUGCUCAAAGCUGUCUUAACUAUAAAAACACUUUCUUAAAAAACUUCAAUUAAAUUUGAAAAGAAAAACUCGGCAGCACGAGACAUAAGAAAUAUAAAAAACUUUGGACAAGGUCUUCUAAGAAAGAUUUAUUCUCAGUUUUGCGAAACUCUCAGUGCAGCAAUUAUCACAUACCACUAAGUUUGCCUUCCUGUAUUUUCGUUGUGAAAUUUAUUAAAUAUGUACAAAUUCUAGAUUUGACAUCCAUUACCGACACUUAAAGUCGUCGUAGAAUUAAAAACCUAUAAAAUUCAAAUUCUCGAUCCGACCCCUCGUAGUGAAGAAUAUGAGGAAAGCAUGCUUUUGAUAGACCCUCGGAUCAAGGAAAGGCAAUAUGAAGUUAAGCAUUUGGAAUAAAUCCUUGAAAUAUAAACUGAUUACUAUGGAGAUACAGUCACUUGCCGCAAAUGUACAGUAACUAAUAUACUAACCAACGAUUUUCAUCACCCUGCUGGUGUUAGAAGCUAUAAAAAUUUACUUGCCGCAAAUGUACAGUAACUAAAAUACUAACCAAUGAUUUUCAUCACCCUGCUGGUGUUAGAAGCUAUAAAAAUUUACCAAUUGCCGUAGGUGACACUUAUAUUCUGACUGUAAUAAAUUGAGUCAAUAGUAUUACAUUAUUUUUAAAAUUGAGUAUAUUACAGUUCAUUGUAUCAGGCAAUGAUGACGAAAAUAUGGAAUUAAACAAGGAUAAAUCCAAUAAAACAUCUCAGCAACAAAAUUAACUCAAACAUAGACGUCACUAUUCACAGGCCUGAAUAUCUAGACAGAAGGAAACAAAUUAACCGUAUCAAAGAGGCAACAUUGUGAUUCUGUACAGAGAGUUCAAAAACAAAGAAAAUAAGGUCAAAGUAUUGGAAAGAAUAUCUUUAGCAAUGAUUCUAGACAACGAGAAACACAUUAAGACACCAUCUCAAAGUAUUUGCAUUUGCAUUAGCAUUCAUUAUAAAGUUGUGAAAAAACAGGGAAAAUAGGACAAAGUAUCAAAAAGGAACAUAUUUAUCAUCAAAAAUAGACAUUAGCAUUUGCAUUCUAGAAUUCUCGAUAAAAGAAAACAUUUUUCGCACAAUCAUUCAAUGAAGUAGCAUAGAAAUUCACUAGUAAGAAUUCAAAAACGGACAAAAUAGAAUAAGGUAUCAAAAAGUUCAUCUUUACCAAAAUAUAGUAACUCAAAAAUAGACCUUGGAUUCACAUCAAUACCUAGAAUUCCAAAAACAGAGAAUUUGUAGUUCAGUUGUGGUUGUUACAGUUUUGCUGGCAUCCUCAUUUCCUGUUCAAAAGCUAAUAAUUCACAAAUAAAUUUAGAGAAACUAUUUCAGAAUAAUGUUUGCCAAGCCAGAUCUAGGAAUUAACUUAAAAUGUUUUCAGUCUUUUAAACAUUCCUCAAUAAUUUGGGUUCAAUGACCCAAAUGAGGGCAACAACAACAACCUAGUAAUAAUCCCACUAGUACAGAAAGGUAGAGUGUACACACACCUUACCCCUACCCUUACCCCUGAGGGUAGAGAGGCCGUUUCCGGGAGACCCUCGGCUCAAAGACAAAAUAUGCAACCAUCCACAGAAAACAGACAAAUAGUAUUAGCACAGUAAGCGACAACAAAUAAGUGUAAGGACAAUAAUAAUAGUAAUAAUAAAAAUUAAAAAUAAAAGUGUGAUAGAACAAAAACCGCUAGCAGCCCUAUACAAAACACUAUCAAACUAGCAUAUAACCAAAUUUGAGGACUAAAUGACACUUCUUUUAGAAAUUGGGAUUUUUCCAGAUUUAUGGAGAAGGCCAUGAGAAAAUGCUAGACAAAACAUAAAAAAUUUAAAAGGACAUAAUACGAGCGGAUUGAUUGGAAAAGGAAUUCAAAGUUUAACAGAAAUGAGGCUCCAAUUUGUCCAAAAACCAUCAGAAAUUGGGCAAGGCCGCCAUGGCUACAAAAGACAGAUGGCUUAUUGUAAGAGAAAAUAAAACCAACUCACAAAUGCAACUGAACUUUGUCAAGCCAAGAUACGUAUCAACUGAAACAGAAAUAGAGCAACCAGCCUUAGGAACUCCUUCAUUUUCCAGAGUCUAAAACCUCAUUCUUUUAACAAAAUUAAGGCAAUGUAGUUGGCUCAGAUUCGCCUUUUCUCAGACAGACCAAAAAUCUUUGAAAAAACAGCCAUAGCUGCAAGCAUCAGUUAGUCUUGUGAGACACAGAAGAAAAACCAAAAAGAUGGAAUUUUUUCAAAUAUCUCAAAGACACAUCUGAGCUGCCACACCAAGAUACAGUUUUUUUCACCUCAUUAGAAAGAUACAUCUGAUAAUCUUCAUAGCCUCAUUGCACAUAAAAUGAAGCAGAGGGAGUUACUAGAAACGGAAAAGAGGGAGGUCAACUGAAAUUUCACCAAAAGGGUGGUUUUGCAAUUGGAAAAUUUUUCAUUUGACAUAUCAACGGCAGCAGAAAGGAUGCGAUCAUACUAGCACUAACGCACCGGAUCCCAUCAGAACUCCGAAGUUAAGCAUGCUUGGGCGAGAGUAGUACUAGGAUGGACGACAUCCUGGGAAGUCCUCGUGUUGCAUCCCUCUUUUCCCCACGGUGUGGAAUAAAUAGUCAAAACUACCCAUAAAAACUCCCCACAGCUCUCUGCUUUCACCAGUCUCAGACGGAAAAAGACAGGGUCAAAACCACCCAUAAAAACUCCCCACAGCUCUCUGUUUUCACCAGUCUUAGACUUAAACUAAUAAGACUAUCACCCAUUUUGUGUCUCCUUUUUGAGGCUCGGAUCUGUGUUAUAACUCAAGCAAAAAGAGUCCGACGCCAUGGCUGCAAAUACCACCAAGGGAAACCUGAACCAUGCCCCGCCAAAAUACGGGUCACAUAAUCUCAAAUGCCUGAUUAAUAAGAUAUUUACAAAAUCCUCGUCGCCGCUUUCAAGCCGUCAAUCAUACCACGACUGGCAUAGCUUGUAUUUAAACCAAAUAGACUGAUAACAGCUCGUUUGGAUGGUUGUUACCAUCGCAUUGUAUUGUAUUGUUAUUUCAGAUAGGUAGAAUACAUAGACAGCCCCUCAAACUUGUCAUGAAUUGUCAUUGAGACGCGUUAACUCGACAGAUGCAAAAAGAGAUCCGAAGACGCCAUGGCUGCAUAAACUGCCAGAAAUCUGGGGGCAUGCCCUGCCAAGAUACGGUCCGGAUAAUCUCAAAUUCUAAUUUUUGUGGUGGCAGAGGUUCGAUAUAUCUCAACAACGCAUCAUGGAAAAGAUUCUGUUUUUGUACUUUCAAGCAAUGUGUGUUAUGAUAAGGCAAAAGAGAAACCAACAACGUCAUGGUCAUCAAUACUGUAAAAGAACACAGAGGAAAGACAGAGAUGUCAGUAUACAACAACAACAAAAAAAAACCAGUAUAAUCUCACCAAUAGGGUCAGGGGAGGACUGUGAGUACGCAGCCUUAACCCUAAAGAGUCUGUUUCCAAUUAGAUAUGUCAUAACUUAAAUCAUUUCUGCUGCUUCUGCUUUUGUCAUAAAGACAAGCAAGGGCUGUUGGGUUUUUUAAUAAUGGAAGAAAAUCAAUGGUGAAACAGAGAGGGGCAACCACCCUUUCAAAUGAAACCCCAAACUCUCUGUUUUUGCCUCAUUUCUUUAAUUCUUCUGGGCUAACCUUUACCCUUCUCAUAAUUGCAUACUUGUGAGGUCUCAAAAAAUAAGGGUUAGUUUCUUAAAGCUGACAAGCUGAUUCUGGAAGCACGGCCAAUCAGGCUAUUACAAUAUAAGCUGAAUUUAGAAGCUCGGCCAAACAAGCUAUUACACGGGCCUUUUCGCGAGGGCUCAGAUUUGCUAUAUUUUUUGUCAAAGCAAAUGAGAAGGCGACACUACCGCUGCUGCAGACACCAGUUUGCUAUACAAAAGCCAUAUCCAGAAUCGUCUUGCCAAGAUACAGGUCGGAUAUUUUUUCAAUGCCACGAAUUGAUAUAGCCCAGAAAUGAAAAGCAAAAACCACAGCCCCUUUAUAUGCAUCAGUAUUCAGUAGCAGCAACACAAAGAGAUGAGGAAGAGGAAGAGCAAUAUAUUAAGGGUCUGAUUGGCUGUUUUUUUUUGGGGGGGGGGNNNNNNNNNNNNNNNNNNNNNNNNNNNNNNNNNNNNNNNNNNNNNNNNNNNNNNNNNNNNNNNNGGGGGGGGGGGGUGUUAAUUCGAAGGGCUGUUGAUUUACAAUAUAGAAAUCGUAGGCAUAACAGAGAGGGGAAAUCAACCUUUUUAUAUUGCUCCUCUUUGUUUGCCUCGUUCUUCUCCUUUUCUAAGACAAAAACCCAAAAACCUUUGGAAAAAGACCGUCACGGCUGCUGCAAGCAUCAGUUAGUCUUAUGAAUCAGGAAAAAACACACACAAAAAUGGAUUUUUCUCAAAUACCUCAAAGACCCAUCUGAGCUGCCACGCCAAAAUUACAGCUUUUUCCCAGCUCAAUAGAUGUACAAGUCUGAUUCAUCUUCCACAGAAGAAUAAAAUCUUCAUAGCCUCAUUGCGUCACAUAAAAUGAAAAGGAGGGAGUAAUAAGUAUUUUCACCAAAAUGGUGGUUUUGAAAACGGACAUUUGAGCGAUCAUCGGCGGCGGACAAUAACAGAGAGGGGGAAAACCACCCAAUGAAACUCCCUACAGCUCUCUGCUUGACCGCAGCCUCAGACUAACAAACGAGUUUUUCGCUAUUUUCCUGAUAAUCCAAGGGCAGCACGGUGCACAAGACAACCUGCAUUCGCGAGGGUGCACUCAAGAUUUGUGAUGUAGACGGAUACCUUAAUGCAAGCAUCAGUAGCUGUGAAUACUUUCACAACUCGAACUCGUGACCGAUAGGUCACACAAGGAGAACUUUACUUUUUUGUUAAUCACAAUCCAAUUGUAAGUGAGACAGAAAUCUCAAUCACAGGCUAUACCGGGUUGCCACACCAAGAUAUGGAUCCGGUCAUCUCAAUGCCCAAAUUGGUUAGCCUAGAUACAAGAAACAUCAUCAUCACUGCCUCUUUAUGUAACUUCCAUCAGCAACAUAAACACGCACACAAAAAAAAAAGAAUUAAAUACAGAUUUCACUGGGAAAAAAUUACUUCUCAGGAAUUUUACAUUUCUUAUGUCCAAACUUUGUCUGCUUCUGCUUUUGUCAUAAAUAACGGCUGUUUUUUUCUUGAAAACGGAGGAAUAUCAACGGCGGAACAGAGAGGGGCAAUCACCCUUCUAAUGAAAAUCUCAAUACUCUCUGUUUUUGCAUAUUUAGGGGAAUUUCUCGUGGGUUUUUCGCCUGCGAAUUUCACCAUUUAACAGAUGCAAAAAGAGAUCCGAAGAUGCCAUGGCUGCAUAAACCAACAGAAAUUUGGGGGCCUGCCCCGCCAAGAUACGGUCCGGAUAAUCUCAAAUUUUAAUUUUUACAACUACAUCGGAAACAACCUCUCUAUCUUCACAAGGGUAGGGUUUGUUAAGGUCUGCGCACACACUACCCUUCCCAAUCUCCACUUGUGGGAUUUCACUAGGUAUAUUGCUGUUGUUGUAAUAGAAAGAUAUCUAAUUCAUACUCCACAUAAAAAAAAACCUUGAUAGCCUCAUCACACAUAAAAUGAAACCUAGGGAGUAACAAGAAAAGGAAACUAGCAAGGUCAUACGUAUUUUCACCAAAAGGGUGGUUUUGUAAUUGGAAAAGUAUUUCAUUGGAGUGACCAUUGGCAGCGCCAAAUGACAGAGGCGCAAAACCAACCACUGAAACUCCCCACAGCUCUCUUUAAUCACCGUUGCCUCAGACUUAAGCAAAUGAUAUUUGCAAAUAACUUACGCAACAAAAUAUAAAUAGUGAUCUCAAAGCAUCCUAUUUGUGCAAAUCGUCACUGCUUCGGUCCAACCGGGUAGAUCCAAUUACGGUUUUGAGGCUCAGAUCUGCGUUAUAAGUCGAGCAAAAGUUAAUCCGACAACGCCAUGGCUGCAAAAAACCACCAGAAGGGGGCAUGCCCUGCCAAGAUACGAGUCAAAUCAUCUCAAAUGCCCAAUUGCUAAGCUCAGAAGGGAAUAGAAGAUUGACAAAAAAACAUCACCGCCUCUUUGAAGCAGUCAAUCAUACACAACAAGUUAAAUACUUUGAAAAAACUGGAUAUACCUUAAAUAGCAAGGUGAAAACUGGCCAUUCCAUGAAUUUUUUACAGGGUUGUUGGAAUUGUUACAGUAAUGGAGAAAUCAUUGGCUAAUACAGAGACAGGCAACCACCCUUUCACAAAAAACCCUAAAUUCUCCGAAGCCUCAUUCUCGUUCUCCUGAGCUUUCGUUUUGUUACAUCUCCAUAACAGUUCUUUUUAUACUAUCCUGAAAGCUGUAAAUAUAAAUUAUUUCUUGUAUAUAUUUCUCUUUCUUUCUUUAGGAAAGAGGAGUGAGUCAUUAGUGAAAGCUUUCGGGUAAGCUCAGAUUAAUGGGGCAAAACCAAGGAGAAGAGUGAAAACCAAAAUCCAAACUCAAGUAAUGGGGUAGGCUCAGAUUCGCCUUUCCUCAGACAGAAACCAAAAGAGCUUUGGUAAAACUGCCAUGAGAGGAGUGAGUCAUUAGUCAAAGCUUUCGGGUAAGCUCAGAUUAAUGGGGCAAAACCAAGGAGAAGAGUGAAAACCAAAAUCCAAACUCAAGUAAUGGGGUAGGCUCAGAUUCGCCUUUCCUCAGACAGAAACCAAAAGAGCUUUGGUAAAACUGCCAUGGCUGCAAGCAUCAGUUAGCCUUACAAGACACAAAAGAAGGCACCAAAAAGUGGAAUAUUUUCCAAUAUCUCACAGACCCAUCUGAGCUGCCAUGCCAAGUUACAAUUUUUUUCCAGCUCAAUAGAAAUAUGUCGACUCAUCUUUCACAGAAGAACAAAAUCAUCAUAGCCUAUUUGCAUCACAUAAAACAGAAGGCGUAACAAGAAAGGAAAAUAAAGAGGUUAUAUUUAUUCUCACCAAAAGGCUGGUUUUGGAAUGGGAAAUUCAUUUGAGUGAUCAUCGGAAUCAGAGAAUGACAGAGGGACAAAACCAUCAAUUGAAACUCCCCACAGCCCUCUGCUUUCACAGCAGCCUCAGACUUAAACUAAUGAGAUUUUGUUAUUUUCAUAUGAGGCUCACAUCUCACUAUGAUAAGGCAUUGAGUUUCUCAAAACCGCCAUGGCUGCAAUCUCCUCCGGAUUGCCCAGCCAAGAUACGAGUUUAAUACCAUCUCAAUGCAAAUCAAUAAUGCCAUUUGCCAAGAAUCAUACCAUCACUGCCUCAAAAUGUUCACUUUUACCUUUAUGUUUAGUAUGAUCCGCGCUGUUUGGGUGUUAACACAGCCACAUAGCAGAGAGAACAAAAGAACGGUAGCAGCAACAACAACAGCAGAUCAACAACAACAUGCAUAUCUCGAAGCUAGAUUUACCGAAAAAAAUAAGCACUGUUAAUUGCUUCUAGCGAGAAAUCAUGGGCUUAACAGCAAAACUGAACGAAUGCAUAAAUAAAUAAAUAAAUAAAUCCUAUUUCUCAUUGAUGCCUCAUUCUAUGAGAUGACUUUCUCUAUGUUUGGGCAUUGAGGGAUCAGAUUUACUGUAUUUGAACAAAGCAAAAGAGAAGGCGACGCCGCCAUAGCUGCAGACACCAGUUUGCUAUGUAAAAGACAUAGUGGUUCGCCUUACCAAGAUACGGGUAGAGUAUCUUCUCAAUGCCAUGCCCAGAACAAUAACUGCCUCUUUUUGAGAAAAUGUUGACUCUUUCAUACAUUUCAUGUAAGUAUGGAAGUUUUGGACUAAGCUCAUACUAAGAAUCCAGUAAUGCCUACCGCAAAGGCGCCAGAUGUUUGCUUUCUUGGUUUUCUUUUAGGAAAGAGGGUUGUUGGUUUUAUUAAAGAAGAAAUCAUAGGCCAAACAGAGGGCCCAACCACCAUCCUAGAACUCCCUCUUACCCCUGUUGGCCUCAUUCUUCCUUCUGGUAAAGUAGAGAUGAUAAUAACAAAGAUUUUGAGGCUCGCUCCAUCUCAGGCACCACCAUGGCUGCAAAUCCGGUUAUGGGCUGCCCCGCGAAGAUACGGCCUAUCAACUCCUGAUUCCAUGAAGCUCGGAAAAAAAUCAAUCAUCCUGUUAUGGGCUGCCCCGCGAAAAUACGGCCUAUUAACUCCUGAUUCCAAGAAGCUCGGAAAAAAAUCAAUCAUCACAGCCCCGUUAUCCAUAUUUUUUGUUGUGUAGCUUUUCAAAAUACAAUGAGAACAACCAUCCAAUCAGGGUGUUAGUGUUAGUGUGCAGACAGAUAAAUGCAUAUCGAUCCAGAGGCGGAUUCAGGAUUCCAAUAUCGAAUCAUGGAAAAGAUAAUUUUUUUUGUACUUUCAAGCAAAUGGGACUCAGAUAUGUGUUAUGAUAAGGCAAAAGAGAAACCAACAACGACAUGGCUGCAAAACACCGGUUGCAUGUGUGAUAAGAUUCAAAACUCUCAAUCACAGGCCAUACCGGGUUGCCACGUCAACAUAGGGGUCGGCUCAUCUCAAUGCAUGAAAAUGGCACCGGCUAACCAGUUUUGAGAAUGAUAAUUGAAAAAUAACCUGCGUUUGCAAGGUCCUUAAAAUUAGUCACUAUUUUGCUGCAACGUGAAAAGUUAAAGCAUAAUAUACUGAAGCACUAUUGGAACUCCAAUACACGGAAAGUCCCACUAUAAUAUUCAACAUGGAAAAUUUUUCAGGUUUUGAAUAUUAUUUUCGUUCAGAUUUAUCUUACAUGAAACCUCCACUUCCAACCGAGAGGUUGUGAGUUUGAGCAAGGUGGGAAGUUCUUGGAGGGAAGGAUGCCGGGGUCUAUUUGGAAACAGCCUCUAGGGGUAAGGUCUGCGUACACACUACCCUCCCCAGACCCCACUAAGUGGGAUUAUACUGGGUUGUUGUUGUUAUCUUUACAUGAAAAGUGCUCAAAUUUUGAUUACUUUUGAAACUUUGGCUAUUUUAAAUUACCACUUAUAAAUCCGCCUAUUUUUGAAUUUCACCCCCUCAAUGCCCAAAUCGGUUAGUCGAGAUAUAGAAACAUUAUCAUCACUGCCACUUUAUGUACCUUCCAAUCUUCCAUCAACACUGUAAAAGACCACACAGGCAAAUGCGGGUUCAAUAUAUCCCAACAAUGAAUCAUGGAAAAGAUUCUGUUUUUCUACUUUCAAGCAAAUGCGGCUCAAAUGUUUCUUAUGAUAAGGCAAAAGAGAAACCAACAACGCCAUGGCAGCAAAACACCAGUUGCAUGUGUGAGAGAAGAUUCUCCACACAGGCAAUCCUGGGUUGCCACGCCAAGAUCCGGUCGGCUCAUCUCAAUGACCAAAUCGGUUAGACCAGACAUCAUAAUCCUGGGUUGCCAGGCCAAGAUCCGGUCGGCUCAUCUCAGUGACCAAAUCGGUUAGACCAGACAUCAUCACUGCUACUUUAUGCUCCUUCCAUUAAUACUGUAAAAGUACACAGAGGAAAGACAGAUGUCAGUAUACAACAACAACAACCAAAAAACCACUAUAAUCUCACAAGUGGGAUAUGAGUAAGACGGUGAGUACCCAGCCCUAAACCUAUAUUGUGCAGGUAAAGAGGUUGUUUCCAAACAGAGAUGUCACUAUAUAUAACUUAAAUCAUUUCUCCUGCUUCUGCUUUUGUCAUAAAGACAUAAACAAGGGCUGUUGGUUCUUUUUUAUAACAAAAAUAAUGGAGGAAAAUCAGUGGUGAAGCAGAGGGGCAACCACCCUUUCAAAGAAAAUCCCAAACUCUCUGUUUUUGCCUCAUUUCUUUAAAUUCUUCUAGGCUAACCUUUUCCCUUUUCACAAUUAAAGACUUGUGAGGUCUCAAAAAACAAGGGUUAGUUUCUUAAAUCUAAUUAGCUGAUUUUAGAAGCACGACCAAACAAGCUAUUACAAAAUGAGCUAAUUUUAGAAGCACGGCCAAACAAGCUAUUACAAAAUGAGUUGAUAUUAGAAGCACGGCCAAACAAGUUAUUACACGAACCUUUCCGUGAGGGCUCAGAUUUGUUGUAUUUUUUGUCAAAGCAAAAGAGAAGGCGACGCCGCUAUGGCUGCAAACAACAGUUUGCUAUACAAAAGCCGUACCGGGUCGCCCCGCCAAGAUACGGGUCGGAUAUUUUCUCAAUGCCAUGAAUUGCACAUAGCCGGAAAGGAAAAAGCAAUCAUCACAGCCCUGUUACAACAUUCGUGUUCAGUAGCAGCAGCACAAAGAGAGGAGGAAAAAGAAGAGGAAUAUAUAUAUUAGGGGUGUGUCUGGAUGAUUUUUUUUGUUCGUUCUUUUGUUUAAUUGAAAGGGCUGUUGAUUUUUAAGGGAGAAAUCACAGGCAUAACAGAGAGGGGCAACCACCCUUUUUACAGAAAAUCCCAAUCUCUCUAUGUUGCCUCAUUCUUCUUCAUUUCUAAGGCUAUGCUCAAAGCUAUUUUCUGGUUGAAGCGUCUGCAUAAAUAGGGCAAAACUUUUUGGGGAGGUGGAAUCAAGGGUAUAUUGGUCAAUGGAUAUACAAUUUUUUAGGAACGGUUAAGGGUCAGAUUUGCCCUUGUACUAUUCAAAAUAAGCUAUAUUUACCCUCCGUUUAAAUCAAGGCAAUGUAGUAGGCUCAGAUUCGCCUUUUCUCAGACAAAAACCAAAAAGCUUUGAAAAAGCAGACAUAGCUGCAAGUAUCAGUUAGUCUUGUGAGACACCGAAGAAAAACCAAAAAGAUGGAAUUUUUCCAAAUAUCUGAAAGAUCUAUCUGAGCUGCCAUGCCAAGAUACAGAUUUUCCAGCUCAUUAGAAUGAUACAUCUGAUUCAUCUUCCACAGAAGAACAAGAUCUUCAUAGCCUCGUUGCACAUAAAAUUAAGCGGAAGGAGUUACUAGAAGUGGAAACGAGGGAGGUCAACUGAAAUUUCACAAAAAGGGUGGUUUUGCAAUUGGAAAUUUUUUCAUUUGAGAGAUCAUUGGCAGCAGAAAUAUGCAGGGGCAAAACCACCCACAGCUCUCUGCUUUCACCACAGCCUUAGACUUAAACUAAUAAGAUUGUCACCAUUUUUGUGUUUCCAUUUUGAGGCUCAGAUCCGUGUUCUAACUCAAGCAAAAAGAGUCCGACACCGCCAUGGCUGCAAAUACCACGAAGGGAAACCUGAAGCAUGCCCCGCCAAAAUGCGGGUCAGAUAAUCUCAAAUACGGUUAAACAGGUUAUUAGAAAAUAACCUGUUUUGUUUUUGUUUUUCCUAGCCGAGGGUCGAUUGGAAGCAGCCUCUCUGCCCUUUCGGGUAGGGGUAAGGCUCGUCUACAUAUUACCCUCCCCAGACCCCACUUUGUGGGACUAUACUGGGUAGUCGUUGUUGUUGUAGUUUAUUAGAAAAUAAGCUUUUUUAGAAGCACGGCUAAACAGGCAACUACAUGGGCCUUUUUGUGAGGGCUCAGGUUUGCUAUAAUUUUUGCCAAAGCAAAUGAGAAGGCGAUGCUGCCAUAGCUGCAGACACCAAUUUGCUAUACAAAAGCGGUAACGGACGAUCUGCCAACCCCUUUUUACAGAAAAUCCCAAUCACUCUGUUGCCUCAUUCUUCUCCUUUUCUCAGACAAAUACCACCGUCGUGGCUGCAAGCAUCAGUUAGUCUUAUGAAACAGGAAAACACACACACAGAAAUGGAUUUUUUCUCCAAUAUCUCAAAGACCCAUCUGAGUUGCCACACCGAGAUUACAAUUUUUUCCCAGCUCAAUAAAUUUAUAAGUCUGAUUAAGAAUAAAAUCUUCAUAGCCUCAUAGCAUCACAUAAGUUGAAAGGGAGAUCGUAAUACAUAUUUUCACCAAAAGGGUGGUUCUAAAAACAGACAUAUCAUCGGCGAGGGACAAUCACAGAGAGGGGCAAAACCACCCAAUGAAACUCCCUACAGCUCUCUGCCUAGACCGCAGCCUCGGACUUAAACUAAUGAGUUUUUUGUCAUGUUAAUCCAAUGGCAGCCCGGUGCACAAGGUAUCCCGCUUUCACACAGGGUCCGGGGAAGGACCACAUCCAAGAUGUGUGAUAUAAACAAUAUACCCUAAUGCAAGUAUUAGGGGCUGCUUUCACGGCUCGAACCUGAAGACAACUUUACCAUUGCUCCGAGGCUCCCCUCCCUAUUUUCCCGUUAAUCCAAAUCACAGAAAAGAUUAUCUUUUUUUUUCUCUUUUCGGCAAAUGGGGUUCAGAUGUGUUAUGAUAAGGCAAAGAGAAGCCCGCUACGCGAUGGCUGCAAAACACCAAUUGCAAGUGAGAGACAGAAAUCUCAAUCACAAGCCAUACCAGGUUGCCAAGCCAAGAGGGGUUGGGUCAUCUCUAUGCCCAAAUCGGUUGGCCCACAUACAAGAAACAUCAUCAUCAAGGCCCCUUCAUGUAACUCCCAUCAGCAACAUAAACACACACACACACACACACACAAAGUAAACACAGAUUUCACUGUAAAAAAAUUACUUCUUCCUGAAUUUCACAAUUUUUAUGUCCAAACGUCCACGUAAAUCCUGUAUGCUUCUGCUUUUGUCACAUGCAAGGGCUGUUGGUUUUUUUUUUUAAAAUGGAGGAAAAUCAAUGGCGGAACAGAGAGGGGCAACCACCCUUCUAAUGAAAAUCCCAAUACCCUCUGUUUUGCCUCAUUUCUUUCUGGGCAAACCUUUUUGCAUUUUUAGGGGAAUUUCUCGUGGGUUUUUCACCUGCGAAUUUCAAAAUUUAACGGAAAAGAACCUGUAAGUUUGCACUUAAGAAAAUAACCUUCCAAUUGAGGCUCAGAUCUGUAAUAUGGAAGACAAGGUAAGAGACUGGAGAUGCCGCCACAGCUGCAAACACUGGUUGCAAUCUGUCACUGUCCGGGUUGCCCUGCCAAGUUACGGGUCCGAUUGCUCUCUUGCCCUAAUCAAUUUGCUCAGAGACAAGAAAAAAUCAUCAUCAUAGCCUCAGAUUUUUGCUAUAAUUAUUUUUAUUAUUAGAAAGCGAGCCUUGGAGUAACUGAUAAAGUUGCUGCCAUGUGACCAGGAGGUUCGAGCCGUGGAAACAACCUCUUGCAGAAAUGCAGGGUAAGGUUGCGUACAAUAAACUCUUGUGGUCUGGCCCUUCGCUGGACCCCGUACAUAGAGGGAGCUUAGUGCACAGGGCUGCACUUUUUUAAAAAAAAUUAUUAUUACUACUUCUUGAUUUUUGACAAGAGGGGUUGCUCUGAUGGUAAGCAACCCCCACUUCCAACCGAGAGGUUGUGANNNNNNNNNNNNNNNNNNNNNNNNNNNNNNNNNNNNNNNNNNNNNNNNNNNNNNNNNNNNNNNNNNNNNNNNNNNNNNNNNNNNNNNNNNNNNNNNNNNNNNNNNNNNNNNNNNNNNNNNNNNNNNNNNNAGUUCUUGGAGGGAAGGAUGCCGGGGGUCUAUUUGGAAACAGCCUCUCUACCCGAGGGUAGGGGUAAGGUCUGUGUAAACACUACCCUCCCCAGACCCCACUAAGUGGGAUUAUACUGGGUUGUUGUUGUACUUCUCUUUUUGGGAGUGAGGAUUUGGAGAUACAGUAGAGAGGUCAUUUGGAUACAGUUUACUGCAGAAGGGCAUUUUUGGCAAAAAAUGAAAUCACAGGUAUUGUAGAGAGGAGCAGCUGCCCUUAAGCUUCCUUAUACUCUCUGCAACUCUCAUUCAUUAUAUGAGCUUUUAGUUUUCUGCUUUGUGUCAAAAGAGAACUAUUUAGAGGAUCGAUAUUUCUUACUUUGCCCUCUGAUACACACUUAUUUACAACCCUUUAAAGACAAUCCCAUCUGUUUUGUCCCACUUCUUUAAGCCACCCUAGAAGUAGUAUUAAACAUCUCAGCAUGUUUCAUCCAGCCAAUGGGGUAGGCUCAGAUUCACCUUUUCUCAGACAACCCCAAAAAGCUUUGGAAAAAGACCACCAUGGCUGCAAGCAUCAGUUAGCCUUAGGAGAAAUACACACACAAAAAUGUAUAAUUCUCCAAUAUCUCAAAGACCCAUCUGAGCUGCCACGCCAAGAUUACAAUUGUUUCCUGUUUCAGUAGAUUUAUGUCUGAUUGAUCUUCAACAUAAGAACAAAAUCUUCAUAGCCUCAUCGCGUCGCAUAAAUUGAAACAGGGGAGUAAUACAUAUUUUCACCAAACGAGUAGUUUUGCAAUCGUACAAUUGGGUGAACAUUGACGGCAGAGAAUUGACAGAGAGCAGAAAAACCACCCAAUGAAACUCCUUACAGCUCUUUGCCUUCACCGCAACCUUAGACUUAAACUAAUGAGUUUAAUCCAAGGGCAACCGAGUGCACAAGGCAUCCCACGUUCACCCAGGAUCCGACAAAGGGCAACACUCAAGGAAUGUGAUGUAAACAGGAUACCUUAAUCAAGCUUUAGUGGCUACUUUCACGGCUCGAAAUCAUGACCUAUAGGUCACACGAAUACUAACUUUAACGUUGCUAUUUUCCUUCCUAUUAUCCUGUUGAUCCAAAUCAUAGAAAAGAUUAUCUUUUUUCUUCUUUUCAGCAACUGGGGCUCAGAUGUGUUAUGAUAAGGCAAAGAGAAGCCAGCAAUGCCAUAGCUGCAAAACACCAGUUGCAAGUGAGAGACAGAAAUCUCAAUCACAGGUCAUACUGCGUUGCCACGCCAAGAUACGGGUCGGCUCGUCUCUAUACCCAAAUCGGUUAGCCCAGAUAAAAGAAACAUCAUCAUCACUGCCUCUUUAUGUAACUUCCAUCAGCAACAUAAACACACAAAAAAAAAGUAAAUUCAGAUUUUGCUGGAGAUCUUUUUUACUUUUUUCCGGAAUUUUACAAUUCUUAUGUCCAAACGUUGUCUGUUCUGCUUUUCUCAUAAACACGGGCUGUUGGUUUUUUUUUUUUUGGAAAAUCAAUGGCGGAACAGAGAGGGGCAACCACCCUUCUAAUGAAAAUCCCAAUACUCUCUGUUUUGCCUCAUUUUUCUGGGCUAACCUUUUUGCAUUGGAAAUUCUCGUGCAUUUUUCAACUGCGAAUUUCAAAAUUCAACAGAAGAGAGCCCAUUUUUUUGAUAAGGAAAAAGCGGGUAUAGAUGCAAAUGAAAACAGAAAAGAGCCCAUAAAUCUGCAUUUACGAAAAUACCUUUCCAAUUGAGGCUCAGAUCUGUAAUAUUGAAGAUAAGGCAAGAGAUUGGAGACACCGCCAUGGCUGCAAACACCGAUUGCAAGUCGUCACCGUACGUGUCGCCCCACCAAGAUACGGGUCCGAUUGUUCUCCUGCCCUAAUCAAUUUGCUCAGAGACAGAAGAACAAAUUAUCAUCACAACAUCAAAUUUUUGCUACAAUUAAUAUUAUUAUAACUAUUAUUCUCUUUUCCGGAGUGAGGAUUCGGAGAUACAGUAGAGUGGUCGUUUGGACAUAGUUUACUGCAGAAGGGCAUUUUUGGCAAAAAUGAAGUCAUAGGUAUUGUAGAGAGAAGCAGCUGCCCUUUGAGCUUCCCUCUACUCUCUGCAACCCUCAUUCACUAUCUCUCACCUUUUGGUUUUCUGCUCUGUGUCAAAGAGAACUAUUUAAAGUGUCAACAAUUCUUGUUUUGCUCACUGACGUACAACUUGAUUCCAUGCUUAGGAGCAAAAAGUAGUUCAAAUUCAAAGAAGAAUAAGUUUUAGAUGUUUCUAUUUCACAGUAUUUACGAGGCUCAGACAUGCAAAGAGAGAUCCCGCAAAAGAGAGUCGACUGCGACAUGGCUGCAAAAUCACCGGUUGCAUCAAAGAAAAAGCCUCCAAAUCGUCAACUAACCGUCGGUGAUUUGCCAAGCCAAGUUACAGGUCAUAUAGUCUCUAUGACCGACCCAGUUAGCCCAGAGUUAGCCCAGAAUCUGGAUAAAAUAUCAUCACUGCAUCAAUUGUUAUGUAUCAAAAAAGAGGAACUAAAAUCACAGAAUCAGAGACAGAGAAAAGAGAGAUCCGGCCGUUGUUGUUGAUUGAUGCUGAAGAAUUAAGAAAAUAACUUUCCAAUUGAGGCUCAUAAGCCUGCAUUUAAGAAAAUAACUUUCCAAUUGAGGCUCAGAUCUGUAAUAUUUGAAGAUAAAGCAAGAGAUUGGAGACACCACCAUGGCCGCAAAUACCCGCAACAAGACAUCACCAUCCGGGUUGCCCCGCCAAGACACAGGUCCGAUUGUUCUCUUGCCCUAAUCGAUUUGCUCAGAGACAGAAGAAAAAAUAUCAUCACAGCCUCAGAUUUUUGCUACAAUUAUUAUUAUUAUUACUCUUGAUUCUCUUUUUGGAGUCAGGAUUUGGAGAUGAUUAGCAGAGACCAAUAAUAGCCAAUCGAAAUACUUAAGGGGUCGUUUGGUUAGAGUAUAAUGCAGAAGGGCAUUCGGCAAAAAUGAAAUCACAGGAAUUGUAGAGAGGAGCAGCUUUGAUGGUAAGCAACCUCACUUCCAACCGAGAGGUUGUGAGUUCGUGGCAAAAAUGAAAUCACAGGAAUUGUAGGAAUUGUAGAGAGGAGCAGCUCUGAUGGUAAGCAACCCCACUUCCAACCGAGAGGUUGUGAGUUUAAGUCUCCCCAGGAGCAAGGUGGGAAGUUAUUGGAGGGAAAGAUGCCGGGGGUCUAUUUGGAAACAGCCUCUCUACCCCAGGGUAGGGAUAAGUUCUGCGUACACACUACCCUCCCCAGACCCCACUAAAUGGGAUUAUACCGAGUUGUUGUUGUUGUAGAGAGGAGCAGCUGCCCUUGAGCUUCACUCUACUCUCUGCAACCCUCAUUCUUUGUCCCUGAGCUUUGAGCUUUUACUUUUCUGCUUUGUGUGAAAGAAAACCAUUUAAAGCAUUGAUAAUCUUGUCUUGCCUUCUGGUGUGUGUGUUUACAUAAACGACUGACUGGAUUAUUGUUGAUUUUUUCUUUCAAAGGAGAUACAAAAGUUUUUAUCCUCUACAAUCUUCUUCUAGAGAUUAUUAUGCUUAGCUAAGACUUAUCCCUUCAUUUUCUUUGAUUGAUUUUAUUCAAAAAGUUACCAAUAUCUUUUGAGUCAAACAGGCUUAUCAUGAAUGUGUUAUGAUAAGGCAAAGAGAAGUCAGUUGCGCUAUGGCUGCAAAACACCAAUUGCAAGUGAGAGACAGAAAUCUCAAUCACAUGCCAUACCGAGUUGCCAAGCCAAGAGGGAUUGGGUCAUCUCAAUGCCCAAAUCGGUUAGCCCAUAUACAAGAAACAUCAUCAUCACUGCCUCUUUAUGUAACUUCCGUCAGCAACAUGAACACACACACAAAGAAACAAAAAGUAAAAAUACAGAUUUCACUGGAAUUUUUUUUAACUUCUUUCCGGAAUUUUAAAAUUCUUAUGUCCAAACGCUGUCUGCUUCUGCUUUUGUCAUAAACAAGGGCUGUUGGUUUAUUUUGAAAAUGGAGGAAAAUCAAUGGAGGAACAGAGAGGGGCAACCACCCUUCUAAUGAAAAUUCCAAUACUCUCUGUUCUGCCACAUUUCUUUCUGGCUAACCUUUUUACAUUUUUAGGGGAAAUUCUCGAGGGUUUUGCACCAGCGAAUUUCAAUAUUUAAUGGAAAAGAGCUCUUAAGAUCAAGAAAAUAACCUUCCAAUUGAGGCUCAGAUCUGUCAUAUUUGAAGAUAAGGCAAGAGACUGGAGACACCGCCAUGGCUGCAAACACCGGUUGCAAGUCGUCACCGUCCGGGUCGCCCCGCCAAGAUACGAGUCCAAUUGUUCUCCUGUCCUAAUAAUUUUGCUCAGAGACAGAAGAAAAAACUAUCAUCACAGCCUCAGAAUUUUGCUACAAUUAUUAUUAUUACUACUAUUGAUUCUCACUUUGGGAGUGAGGAUUUGAGAUACAGUAGAGUGGUCGUUUGGACAUAGUUUACUACAGAAGGGCAUUUUUGGCAAAAAUGAAAUCAUAGGUAUUGUAGAGAGGAGCAGCUGCCCUUUGAGCCUCUCUCUACAUUCACUGACUCUGAGAUUCUGGCUUUCUGCUCUGUGUCAAAGAGAACUAUUUAAAGCAUGAACAAUUCUUAUUUUGCCCACUGACGUACAACUUGAUUCCAUGCAUAGGAGCAAAAAAAUAGUUAAAAUUCAAAGAAAAAGAAGUUUUAGGUCAAUUUCGCAGUACGUAACUAAGAGGCUCAGAUAUGCAAAGAGAGGCGACCGCGCCAUUGCUGCAAAAUCACCGGGUCCGGUUGCAUGCAAAGAAAAAGCCUCCGAAUCGGUAGCUAACCGUCCGGUGAUUUGCCAGGCCAAGUUACGGGUCGGAUAGUCGCUAUGCCCGAUCCAGUUAGCCCAGAAUCCGGAUAAAAUAUCAUCACUGCCUCAAUUGUCAGGAACUAAUCACAGAAACAAAGAUAGAGAAAGAGAAAUCUGGCUGUUUUUGAUUGAUGCUGGAGAACAGGAACUAAAAUCACAUAAACAAAGAUAGAGAAAGGGAAAUCUGGCUGUUUUUGAUUGAUGCUGGAGAAAUGACUGUAUGUAUUUCCAUUAAUUCAAGGGCUGUUGAUUCUCUUUUAAAGGUGGAAAAAGGAAAAUCAUUGGCUAAACAGAGAGGGGCAACCACCCUUUGAAUAAAAAUCCAAGCUCUCUAUUUUUGCCUCAUUUUUUUUCUGGGCUAAACUUUCUUUGCUGGGAAAUCCUUUGGUGAAUUCCACCUUUCACUCUAUGUGUUCUCUUGUGAUAAGCAUACACUCUUGCUUGGAAGAAUCUAGAAGGAAAUUUAUUUAAAGUGAUUGCUUUGGUGUUUGGAACUUUGGAUCAAACUUUAAGGUUAAUGUCGGAAGACUUCGUAACAAUGAACAGCACGUGGGUCCUAAGUACGGUUAUAGAUUUUUCCCAAAAUAAAUUUAAAUUUUAUUUCAUAUUUCACCAUAGAUUUUACUUAUAUUUUUACAAAAUCCCAAAUUUUAAAUUGCGGACCCAAAAUAUUACUAUUAUAUCUUUUAAAAAUUUCAGGAUUAAAAUUAGUACCGAGAUAACUUAUGCCUUGUAAGGGAUGUGGUAAUUAGUAUCGGAAUAAUUUAUACCGUCUUCUUAGAAAUCAUGCAAUUGUUAUUUUUAAUACAACAUACCAAACAAUAGAUAAAAAACAGUAAUAGCAUAACUAAUCCCGGCAUAACUUAUUUCAAUAAAACUUAUUCCAACAUAAGCCGUAUUCAAACCAAAUGACCACAUACAAUUUAAAUAUUAUUUUUAUACUAACCACGAACUUUAAUAAGUGACAGCUAAUAGUAAUGAUUAUUUUAGGACUGCUUUGGUAUAAGGGAUUAAAAAAUAAUUAAUCUCAGAAAUAAAUCUAAGAAGAAUUUAUACCAUGUUUGGGUGGGAGAAUAGUUCAAUAUUAUUAAUUUUGGAAUUAUAAUAAUUUUUUAAUCAUAUGAAAAGGUGGUAAAACUAAUCCCAAAAUAAAUUAAUAGAAGAUAUUUUGAUUUCGAAAGUCAAAUAAAUUAGUCUUUCACUGUAAUCUUUUCGUAUGACUUUUUAAUGUACUGAAUUAUUAAUUAAUGUGACUUAUACCUUUUUUUAAUAUAGUUUUCAAAUAUGUAAUUUGGUAAACUAAAAGCGAAAGUAUCAUGUAAAUUAAGGCACAUGGAGUAAUAUUUAUCAACAUCUUACUUAUAAUUACUACUCCUAAAUAGUAAUUUGAUUCUUGUAAAUACUUUUUACAUCUUUAAUGCAUAGAUUUUCUUUAGGUAAUUUUUCAGGUAGCGUUUCACUAGGGAUAGAUGUUUUUACUUAUUCGUAGGUCAUUUUUUUGGUCAAUUUGAUAGAAUAUAUUAUAAAUAUUCACCUUACAAAUCAAGGUAAAUUAACACCCUUUACCCGUCUACCAUACGCUAAGAAUAAAACCAACAAAUAAAGUUGACUAGAAAAUUAUAGGAGGCAGCUUAAUGCAUGAAAUAUCCGCGUUUACUCAAUAUAUGAAAAAGAAUUGUAUCCUAAGGGUGUAAUGCAAAUAAAUUUGUAGAUUAAGUGGAUACAAACUUUACUAUUGAACACAAUACCAUAGGAUAAUGAAAUUAAAGUAAGACAUGUCAGUUAAACGAUGCAUUCAACUAUAACUGGUGGUUUAAAACUUAGAACCGGUGAUGUAAUAUAUUUAUUUUAAAUGCGUAAUAUAUAUAAAAUGGGACAAGAACUAUAAUUUUUUAGAUCAGGGGGCAUCUCUAAAGACCUAUCCAUCCUUUUAAUAAAAAAGUUGAUAUACUUGAGUGAAAUUUUUUGUGGAAUAUAUAUAUAUAUAUAUAUAUAUAAGGAUUUUUUUCCCUUUGGAAACUUUUGAGUUUCUUUCAUUUGAUUUCUUCUUUAUGAUUACAAAGAUUUCAAAUACCUUAGCACGAAAUAAAAUGCAGUAAUAAGGUUUUCUGGAUGUUGAAACAAGGCACGUUCUCAAUGUGACUUUGUUUGAAACAAAUGAGGAUUAGUAAUCACAAUUUAAUAUUAUUUUAUCGCUCGAUUGUAUCUAGAGAGCAAAAUAUGACUCCACACGUUAUGCAAUAAAUAUCGCCCCGAUCGAUUACAUGGCAUUUCUUUAUAUUUAUCAAUCAAAUUGAUACUUGAAAUGAUAAACCCUCCAAUCCUCCAUGAUUGCAUUGAAUUUAAUUUUUUAUUUUUGGUUUUUCUGUUUCUUGUUUGCAUACCAACGUUGCUUGAUUAGGGUGGCUUCCACAAGUAUUAUCUGACUCGAAAGUGGCUGAAAUAAUUCAAAAAUUACCGUGGAGGUAGAGAUUUGAUCAAUUGUGGUCAUGUGGCUGGUGUUGCACAUGCUUUCCGAGCCUCAACUACCCACGUUUGACUGCUGCAUCAUAUCCUAAAGCCAAUCAGUGGUUCAAAGAAACUUUAAAAUAAAAUUGUCAAUAACUACUUCAAAAUUGUUGUUGUUGUUGUUGUUGUUGUUGUUGUUGUUGUUGUUGUUGUUGUACUUCAAAAUUGCUACGUAAAAAUCAUUUCAUAGUUUUGAUCUGGAGUACUUAUUGUUUCUUAUGUACUUUUAAUUUUGACGAUAUUUAUCGUGCACUUUAUCUACCGUCACGAUUUUUUUAACGGUGAAGCAUGUUAUGGCUUAAUAUUUAAGGCCAUAGGUCUAUGUAAUUUGAGAAAGAAUCAGUCACAAAAGAAAUUCCCAAAUAGCAAUAGCUAGAUCAAAUCAUGCCCAUUGAAUAGGCACUUGUAUUAGUGUCACCAACCAUCUUCACAUACGUUGGAGCAUAAUUAGCCCUCGACAAGGUAAGGAGAAACCCGAAUUUAAACUAGAUGAGUGCAUAUUUUUAGCUUGAAACCUAUUAUAUUUUAAGACUAGAGGUUCAGACUCAUUACCUAAUUAUAUAAGGUUGCAUCCGCCUUUGAGGCAAGGAAUAUAGUGGACUUGACGAAUCUACAGGUGAACAAUUAAGGUAAGAGUGACGAUUGUUGAGUUUUGAUACACGAAAAAUAAAAUGUAUUUGAAUCUCAUAAAGAAGCAGUAAUGUAUCGAAAACUUGCAUAAAAACUUUAUCAAAGCAAUAAAAAGAAUAAUUAGCAGAAACGCAAGUUUGAUGGCUUUAUAAAAUAUUUGGUACACAAACCUAAGCCACUUGAAUUGACAUCCAAACUCUUUUUCCAUGACUCAUAUGAGGAUGUUAUUAACUGACAACAUCUUCGUAUUUAUGAGUAACACGAACACACACAAAAAUACAGAGUGUUUGCUACUUGUGAACCUAAUUGAGGUACUUUGGCUAUUUAAGAAAAAGGUACAAAAUUCAUCUUCAUAAUUGUUGUAUUGGACUCAACCUAGAAAAAUGGUACUUCAACAACGAUGGUCAAAAUUGUCGAUGAGAGUAAUUAAAAGACCAUGAUAUAUGAACCAUCGUGAUACAACUAAAGUAUAAAAUAUAGUUCAACCACAAUGAAUACAAAACAAUCACAAAACAAUUCACAUGAAGAAAGAUGGAUAUUACCGAAUAAAGGAGGUAAAUUUACAAAUGAUCUGGACCUAACUUUCGUAUAUAUUGUAGUUCCAGAAAUCUCUUGUCAAUGGCACAAGCGGAUUAUGAUUUUGAUAUGUCUGCAGAGAGAUAUAAUUAUUUAGUCAGUGCACACUAACAGAAAUUUAUAACUAAGUAAAAAAGAAUAUGUUUAUAAAUAUACAAAUAGUUUGGACUUGAUUAUUGUAUAUAUUGUGGUUCUAGAAGUCCUUUGUAACGACACAUCAUAUAGAAAUGAUUAUUUUUAGUCAUAACGCUCAAAGAUAUGAAAAGUAGAAUACCAAAAAUUCAUAACUGAAUUCAAAAGCAUAGUUGUAUUAAAUGACAAAAAAUUUGGACCUCAACUUUUUAUAUAUUGUAGUUCCUUAAGUCCUCUUUUUAAUGGCACAAGCAGAACAUGGUUUCAACGUCUUUGUAGAGAGAUAAUUUUUUUAGUAUGGCCGUACAAAGCUGGAAAAAGCAUAAUGAUAGAGAUUCACAACUGAGUUCAAAAGGAUAUAUGUUUAAAUAUAUAAAUAAUAGACCUGAAUUUUAUUAUAUAUGGUAGUUAAGUCUUGUUUUCAAUGACAUAAGUGAAUUGGGAUUUUGAUGUGUCUGUAGAAAGGUUUGACUUUUUUGGUGAGGAUGCACAAAGUUGUGAAAAGUAUAAUAUGAGAAUACCAUAACUAAAUUCAAAGGUAUAUACGUAUAAAUCUACAAAAAACCUUUUUUGUAUAUAUUGUGAUUCUAGAAGUUCUCUUCAAUGAUACCAGCGGAUUGUGGUAUCGAUGUAUUUGUAGAAAUAUAUUAUUAUUUUGCUCAAUACAUGUUGUUUCCAUUAAAGUUUAUAAUUCAUGAGUUUGUAGACCGAAUUACUUUAGAAAAAGAAGGAUCAGGGAGAAGGAAAUGCAAAGAACGGAGAAUAGGUGCAUACCUAUUCAAUCUGAACCUUUGAAAAUAGAAACAUCAAUACUAAAUUAAGAAGUCUAAACAUAAUAAAAACUCCCUCAGGUAUAUGAACAUAUAGUUGAAUACUUCUCCAAAAAAAAAUUGCAUAGUUCUUCUAAAGUUGAGCGUGGUGCUUGCAUAACAAACUUGCUUGGUCAGUGUGGCUUCUGCAAGUAUUACAACCGACUUAGAAGUACUUGAAGUAAUUCAAAAAUGACUGUUACCGCAGAGAUUUGAUCACUUAUGGUGUUGCGCAUGGUAUUGGAACUCAUUUAUGAGCCUCAACUGCUUUUAUUUGACUAUCGCUUCAUAUCCUCAAGCCAAUCAGUAGUUUACAUAAAACUUUAAAAUGAUAAUUGUCAAUCAUCGAUUUAGAUUAACUUUAAAUUUCUUUUAAAGGCUCAAACCCAUUUAAACUUUGAUAGACCAUGAGAGUAAAUAAUUUUUUACUCGAUAGUGAAUGCUACCUUUAUGACACGAGAAAAAUGGUUGAACCACAUUUGACAAGCGUUGUGCCUUAAAGUGAGAAUGAUAUUGGUAUUCACUUCAUUCCAAAGAAGAAGCAGAUUGGUAAGCAUUCGAGGACCAUAAGGCAGUUUACUUCCAAUUGGGAUAGAGAAAAGUUAUGCAUAAAAGAUUUACCACUAAGAAAUCUUGCUAUUAUUGAUUCAACUAUAAAAUAUCAGUUUUCCUUUGUCAUCUUAAGUCAAUGCCUAAAAAAAUCUGAAUGUGAAGUUCAUAUUAGUUGUUCCAUGACAAAAAUAUUAGCUGUUCUCAGAAUCAACAAAACUAUCGACAUGCUUUUUCAAUAACACACCAAGAUGGUGCCACAGCUAUGUAAGAAAUAAAAGAGUAACUGAGUACUCCAACCGAGAGGUUGUGAGUUCGAGUCUUCCCAAAAGCAAGGUGGGAAGUUCUUGGAGGGAAUGAUGCCGGGGGUCUAUUUGGAAAUAACCUCUCUAUCCAAGGGUAGGGGUAAGGUCUGUGUAGUGUGUACACACUACCCUCCCCAAACCCCAUUAAGUGGGAUUAUACUGGGUUGUUGUUGUACUUCUCUUUUUGGGAGUGAGGAUUUGGAGAUACAGUAGAGAGGUCAUUUUGUUGUUGUUGAGUACCAUAUAUGUAAUUCAUGCAAGAAGAUUAGCUCCCGAGAAAGAGCUCACUAAUGAGUUUAAUGUUGUGGAGGCUAGUGUGUGGAAUGUUGUUUCUCCGAAAAAAUGUUCAUAAGCUCCUAUUUUCUAUAUUUAUGCUGCCUUGUCAUAUUCUCAACGUCGAGACAUUAAUUUUAGGGUGCUAUAAGGGUGAACAAAUAAUUUCUAGGUUCCGCUCAACUCUCCCUUAGAGCCUGUGGAAAAUAUGUGUAUCAUUGCCAGUGGAACCUGGCAACAUCAUAUUAUUCGAUGGGAAAAAGCUUUGAGUUUUUCAACAGAUUGUUUCAAUGCCUAUUGUGAUAGCGCUACAAUUUAACAAAUUUUAUUUUAGCAUAUAUUUGGUAUUCAACUACAAAAAAUAAAAGAGUAAGCAAGUAAACAUUAUGAAAGCACUAACUUUUACCAUAGAAAAUAAAAGAAAUGCAUCUUUCUGGUGAAAACACACACUAUCAAAUAGAAUUCCAAGACACAUUCCCUGUCAAACAGUCCAACCAAAAAAUCUAACUUUCCAACGGUUAUAAAUUGCAACAACAGAGAAGGUACACUAACUUCCUCAAUUAAUUCAAUCAUGGAUAUAGCGGUAAUUCAAAGGAUAAAUUUUUUUCAAUAUGUAAAUAAGUCGUUAAAUUUUAAGGCUAGUACACUAUUCCUUCAUCAUUCCCUCUUAAGCAAGGUACUGUUUUCAACAUUCUCUAAAAGUCAAAUUGCUGAUUUUUCUUCUCUGGUUGCCUCCAAUAGGUACCACCUAGGGGUGUACAUGCACCGGGUUGGUUCGAUUUUUAUCAAAACUAAAUCAAACCAACUAUAUUUAUUUGAAUUGAUUCAAUUUUGUCGGUUUUUUGAAAUUUUUUUGUUACAUGAAUAUUAGCUCAAUCUUACUUAGUUAAAAUUAUAGAUAAAGCUUUGAUAAGUGAAUAUAUGUUUAGUAAAUAUGAAAAAAUUGACAAACAUAUGAUCUAUUAAAAUAUUCUAAUGGGGAGAAUUUUUUUUAGUAACGCAUGAUAGUUAUUUUCUUAGUCGUCUAACAAUAAUUUUUCGUUAAUUUACACGUUCAAGGUUAAUACAUGAGAGGAUCCCAAAUAUUUCUAGAUUUUCUAAAUAAAAAUCACUAUAAAGUCUUAAAAAUAUAAAUAAAAAUUAUAUAAUUAUAUAUUGGUUUGGUUCAAACUUUUUUACUCAAUACCAAACCAAGUCAAACCAAACCUAAUUGGAUUUUUUAAUCGGUUCGAUUCGAUUUUUCGGUUUGGUGCGAUUUUCCGAUUCGGUUUGAACACCCGUAGUAUCACCUAUCCAUUUUGAGAACAUUUUUAGUUUCUAUGCUCGCACACUGCCUAAUAAGCUUAUUUUUGGAGAAAUCUAGGACAUGACUGAAGGCAACAUAGAGGUGUUUGAAUUGUUUGGCCGGUACCUUCUAAUCACAUUAUAGGUUUUUGACUAAUAAAAGAGUACACAACCUAAAGGGAAUUAUUGUUAAAUAGUUUUUGGUACAACAAAAUAUUCAGACACUACCGCAUAUGUAUCGAUAUGACAAACUAAGUUCAAUUAGCUUGAUUUGAUCGCACAACGACUUAGAUGUAUGUGCUAUUUAUUGUAACAGAUGUGCGUAGAACAACUAUUAGCUUUAAAUAACACUUGAAUUAAUAUAACAUAAAAUAGUUCAUUCACUUACAAGGACUUCACUAAUUUGUCAAUUAUUUUAACCUGACAAACACCCUUAACUAACUCAUCAAAAAUAAAGAAACUUCACCGAGUGUUGGAGCCAGCCUCUCAGACAAACUACUCCAUGAAUACGCACAUAGAAAUUAAAAAGUUUAAUUUAGCUUUGCAAAUUAAAAAACCAAAACAUAGAAGCAAUGAUACAUAAAUCCGCACAUAUGCAAAUUACAAAAUAAAGUCAGUAAAACGAAUUAUAAGACAAUAACAAAUUUUAAUAUCUUUUUAUCUCGUAUAACCAAUUCAAUCUAGAAAAUAGCGUUUGAAAUGUAACGAUCCGAUACCACCCACAAACAAAUAACCCCAACUUUCAACUUCCCUUUCAUCUUCGAAACUAUUAUAUCCUUAAUUGUAUCAAUGUGAUUAACCAUAUCUUGCAGGAACCGUAUGUUUUAUUGAAUUUUAUUUUAUUUAGCAGUCAAUUUGGAACAGUUCCAUAUGGUUUCGUGAGUCUCAGUCGAGCGUGACUUUCAAUCGUAUGGUUGAGCGAUUUCAUGGUUGUCCACUUUCCUUAGCGUAGGUUUUGCGUAGAAAAUUUAGGGAAAGUGAAGUUCUAAUUGUGCAAUUUUUAAAUAAUAAUGUGAAUCAGUUUUCUUUUAGAUAGGUAAAAAGCAAACAAUGUAUGUUUGACAAUCAGUUAAUUUUCUUAUUAAAAAUAUCUAGAAUUUUGAAUUAAAUAAAACUCUUUUAAAAAUAAAGUUUGAUCUUUAUGGUUCAAAGUUAAAAAAAGGUAUGUUCCAACGUUCUAAAAUCAGUUAGGAGUAAUUUUAAUAAAUAAAGAAUAUUUUUUUUAAAAUAAAGAAAUCUGAAACUAUGAAGUAGUUUUCACUGUUUUUCACCACUUUCCUUCUCUUUCUGCAGGCAUAUGUAUAAGUUGCUCCAUUUCCAUCUAUUUCCAGAUAGCUACCUAUGAAGUGACACUCACUAGUACAUAAGUAGACCCAGAUACCGCCAUGGCAUCAAACAAGAAUUGCAUGCAAGAAAGAAUAAAUGCUGCUUAAGCCAUCCUGGUAUAGCAAUUGAGAUUUGUAAAUGAAAUGAUGAUGACCAAGAAAUAAGGCAAUAGUGAGAGAGAUAGAGCAGAUUGUGAAUACCAUAGGAGCGUCCACUAAGCAUGAAAGAACGUAUGCAUCUUUGAAAGCAGCGGAAUAUAGAGAACCCUUAGAAACUUCCCAUCCUAGCAGGCAGCCUCAUCCUUGUUCUUGAGCUUAGAAUUCCAGUUUCCGUUCAUGGUGUGACCAGAGAUGGGUUCAUCCGAACUCAGUAGCUUUGACUCGAACCUUGCAUGAGUUUAAAAGUUCACUAAUAAGAACAAAUAAUUCAUCUUCAACACAGUAAAUCAAAUGAGUUGUGGUAAAAUCUCGAACUCGAACCCACAAAGUUCAAAUCCUAGAUCUGCUAUGCACUUAGAUGUGUUAUGGUAACGCAAAAGAGAAGCUAACCACGACAUGGCUGCAAAACACCAAUUACACGAGUGAGAAGAGUCUAAAUCACAGGCCAUACAGGGAUGCCACGCCAAGAUACGGGUUGGGUAAUCUCAAUGCCAGAACUAGAUAUAGCCCAGAUACCAAAAAAAAAGCCAUAAUCAUUGCCUCUUUCAUGAGCUUUCAAAGCCACGAGGAGACCAUGCCAGAACUAGAUAUAGCCCAGAUACAAAAAAAAAAAGCCAUAAUCAUUGCCUCUUUCAUGAGCUUUCAAAGCCAUGAGGAGCCAGUCUGAAGAUCUGAAGGUGUGUUGAGCGUUGAGUACACAAAGGGUGCAAAAACACAAAUUAAAAGAUCAUCAUCACUGUCUCAUUAGCCCGGAUUCAUUAGCCCAGAUACUGAAAAAAUCGUCACUCUCAUUAUCUAAAGGCCACGUAGUUGUUGUAUAGUCCGUGAGAGUAGAAAUUAAAAGGGUGCAAAAAUGCAAGGAAACCCAGAUACCGAAGUGCUAUUAUAUGUCUCUAUUUCUCUUUCGUUUUGAAGGGUUGUUGGUUUGUUGGGCAACCACCCUUGAAAGAAAUCCCACACUAUUCUGCCUCAUUCUCGCCGUUUCUGCGCUAAUUUAUAAAUUAAUUUAGAUGAGAGCUUUUAACCGAGGAGACCUCACAAUUCUGCUUUUAAGAGAAUUUCUCAACUUCAAAUGAAUAUUGUCCAAACUCCUACUAAUGUUUUCAGCAAAUUGAGGCUCAGACGCGUAUAAUGACAAGGUAAAACAGAAGACAGCCACGCCAUGACUGCAAAACACCAGUUGCACGAGAGAGGAGUUCUCAAUCACAGGCAUACCGGGUUGCCACACCAAGAUACGGGUCGGGUCAUCUCAAUGCUCAAUUAUCAGCCCAAAAAUAGAAAGAUUCAUAAGCAUCAUCACAGCCCAUUUCUGUUGUAGAAUGCAUUAUAAUGGAACACUUUAAAGUUUCCAUUUACAAUGAACAAAAGAGUACCCAGUUUUAGAAAGAUUCAUAAGCAUCAUCACAGCCCAUUUCUGUUGUAGAAUGCAUUAUAAUGGAACACUUUAAAGUUUCCAUUUACAAUGAACAAUGAGAGUACUCUGAAAGAAACAUGCAAAGGGCCAUGAGCAGAAAGACUGAAGAUCUGAAGGCAUGUACUUGUGGUGAUACACUUGUAUAUUGGGGAAAUGUCACAAAUAGUCAUCUAGAAAACCAGAAACUGAAGUGCUAUGUUUUUCUUUCCGUCUCUUAAGGGCUGCUGGUUAGUUGAGAAGGGGGAGAAUCAUAGACAAAGCAGAGAGAAGCAACCACCCUAAGAGAUCCCAUAUUCUCUGUUGCCCCAUUCUCGCCAUUUUUUGGGCUAAUCCAACAAGAGAACUUUUAACCGAAAGCACCUGUAAGUCUGCAUUAAGAAUCUAACCAUACCUUUUUCAUCAAAAGGGAAAGUAGUUUUUACUUUUUUUCACCAUUGUCCUUCUCUUCCUUCAGGAUGUUAUUUUCAUCUAUUUUUAGAUAUCUAUCUAUGAAGUGACAAGACAAGAGGGGUUGCUCUGAUGGUAAGCAACCCCCACUUCCAACCGAGAGGUUGUGANNNNNNNNNNNNNNNNNNNNNNNNNNNNNNNNNNNNNNNNNNNNNNNNNNNNNNNNNNNNNNNNNNNNNNNCUUCCAACCGAGAGGUUGUGAGUUCGAGUCUCCCCAAGAGCAAGGUGGGAAGUUCUUGGAGGGAAGGAUGCCGGGGGUCUAUUUGGAAACAGACUUUCUACCCCAGGGUAGGGGUAAGGUCUGCGUACACACUACCCUCCCCAGACCACAUUAAGUGGGAUUAUACUGGGUUAUUGUUGUUGUAUCUAUGAAGUGACACUCAUGAGUACAUAAGUCGGCUCAGAUUUGUCAUAAAAUUAGGUGAAGGAAAGGGACACCACAAUGGCAUGCAAACAAGGAUGGCAUGCUACAAAGGAAAGACUCUGCUUACAAUAUCCUGGUUUACCCCCCAGGAUGAGUCCAGCAGACCCAAACCCAAUGAAGUCAAGAAACUUUAUCAUCAUGGCCUACAGUAAGAAACAUCAAUAAUGCGCAUGGUGAUUGAGAUUUGUUAAAAGGAAAAGAUGUGGACCAAGAAAGAAGAAGCGCAUAGUGUGAAAAAUAUGGCAGAUAGUGCAGCCUACAGUAAGAAACAGCAAUAAUGCAUAUAGUGAUUGAGAUUUGUUAAAAGGAAAAGAUGUGGACCAAGAAAGAAGAAGCGCAUAGUGUGAAAAAUAUGGCAGAUAGAGAAAAACCAUUAGAGCACUAGCUAAGCAUGAAAGAAGGGUGCUGCUUUGUCAGUUGCAGAAUACAGAGUUAUCACAGGCAUGCUGAUCGGAGGCAACACCCUUACAAACUUUACAUCCAUAAGACCAGAGCACCUAUAAAAAAAAAGAAAAAAAACAAGAAAGAGGAUCAGAGAGGAUGAAAGGUGAGGCUAUGAAGGCAAAAUCUCAAAAGUCAUUUAAUAACCAAGUGAGUACAUUAUCAUUCCUAAGAAAUUUUUUGUUAUCAUAUAGGAGUACUUUUUAAUAAAGGUUAUAUCUUAUUAUCAUAGGCAUUUUAAAUAUAAUCCGGUUGUCUUAUUAUUUCAUAAUAUAUAUUCUUAACAUUGAGAAUCAGUUCUAUGUUAUCAUCAGGCAAAGAGAUAAAAGCCAUGCCAUGGAUGCAAAACAAUGGUUGUUUGCAAGAGAGAAGAUUCUCAAUCACAAGCCAUAUUGGAUGCCAAGUCAAAAUAUGGAUAGGUGGUUUUCAUGAAAAUUGAUUAAGCACAGAAAAGAAAGAAGUAGAAGUAUCAUCAUAAUCCCUUUCAUAUCUAACAAAUGCUAGAAAACAUUUUCCAUGAAAAAAUGACUCCCCUCAAACUAUGCACACUACAAGAAGCAGAAUAACACUAAAUCAAAGUGGUUUUACACCCAAUUACACAGGAAAUUUACAAACAUAAGGAGGUUGCAGUUAGGUUUUACACCCAAUUACACAGGAUAUUUACAAACAUAAGGAGGUUGCAGUUAGUUGGUGAUGCUAUAAGCUUAAAAACCUUGAACAAAGAAUUCAGCAGAAAAAAUAAGAAGAGAUAUCAUCUGAUGAAAAAGUGAAUUCCGUCAAUGAUUUUCCCAGUAUAACAGUUUACAGUUCUACUGAAAGGGGCUGUUAUAUACAGAGAAUUUUUUUUUAGAAAUUUUGAGUUUUGAAUUCUAACCAGUACAAAACAAUAUAAAACAUUAUUUUUUUACCUUGUGUGUGCAAAGAGCAGAAUCAUUCACCAGUAGCCCAGCUGUUUCUUUGUAGACUGCAACAAAGUCUACGAAGCCAAACACCGAAACACGCUUUUUUUAAGCCCAUCCAAACAUCCUCUUAAAAAAUGCGCUAAAAAGCUACUUAAAUUCAGCUAAUCCAAGCAUGCUUUUACUUCAAUUUUGAUGCUCAAAUCUGUGAUAAAAUCAGUCAAUGUAGAAAUGCAACCGCCAUGGCUGCAGACCCGGUUGCAACCAUGCCUUCCAGGUCGCCCAGCCAGGAUACGGGCUGCUCCAAAGCCGGACCAACUCUGGACACCUUUCGACAUUUCAUCACAGCCUCAUCCCCCAGAAGAUCAUUUGUGUCAUGGAAAGGCAAAAGAGAAGCCAACCAUGCCAUGGCUGCAAAACAUUGAACACCGUUUGCAUGUGUGAGAGAAGACUCUCAUUCACAGGCCAUACCAGGCUGCUACACCAAGAUACUGGUCAGGUAAUCUCCAUGCCCCAAUUAGUUAGCCCAGAAAUAGAAAAGAAUCAUCAUCAUCUCUGCCUCUUUUAAGAUAUGAAAGUCACAUAGUUGUUGUGUAGUAUAGUUGUGAAUAUUGGGUCUUUGAGUUCCAUUACGGGUGUAAAAGUGCAGAUAAACCCACAAACUCAAGUACUCUUUCUCUUUCUUCUUUCUUUUUAAGGGCGGUUGGUUUGUUUAAAAAAGGAGAAUCAUAGGCAAAGCAGAGAGGGGGCAACCACCCUUGUAAAAAAAUCAUGUACUCUCUGUUACCUCAUUCUCGCCAUUUCUAUACUAAUAUAGAAGGUUUUCGAGAAAAUGAUCAAAAUAGUUCUUAGUGUAUGGGUUGGACUACUAUUUUGGUCCACAAUGUACACCCUUAACAGAAUUAAUCCUUGAAGAAUGUAAAACGUGUAAACUUUUAAUUCACAACAGUUUUCUUCAACACUUCAGUUAAACUUAACUGGGUAACAGAUGCAGUAAUUGCUUCAAUUUUGAGGCUCAGAUCUGAGAAUAUAGUCAGGCAAAGGAAACAAAGCAACCGCCAUGGCUGCAGCCCUCUAUCAAACAGGCCUUCGGGGUUGCCCCGCCAAGAUACGGGUCGCUCCAAUGCCCAACACAACUCUAGACACCUUUAAUCAUCACAGCCUCUUCAUCCGUCGCAUUAAAUGCUCUUAGGUAAUAUGUUCUGCUUAUUCUCAAACACCAAAAAUAAGUGUUUUUCAGGAAACAUUUUCCUUCAUACCAAAUACACCCAAAAUUUAUCUUCAGCAAAUUGAGGCUCAGAUUUGUUGUUAUGACAAGGCAAAAGAGAAGCCAACCACGCCAUGGCUGCAACACCAAUUGCAUGUGCGAGAGAAGAGUCCCAACUCUCAAUCACAAACCACACCGACUUGCCACGCCAAGAUACGGAUUGGGUCAUCUCAAUGCCAAAUCAGUUAGCCCAGAUAUAAUAAAAAACAUCAUCACUGCCUCUUUAAGAUCUGGAGGUAGCAUAGUUGUUGCAGUAUAGUUGUAUGUAUUGGGUUUUGAGUAUGCAUUUAGGGUGCAAAAAAUGCAAAGAAACCCAGGAAACUGAAGUGCUAUCAUCUCUUUCUCUUUUUUCUAUUUUAAGGGCUGUUGGUUUGUUUUUAAAAGUUGGAGAAUCACAGCCAAAGCAGAGACGGGCAACCACCCUUGUAAAAAAAAUCCCAUACACUCUGUUGACUCAUUCUCUUCAUUUCUGGGCUAAUCCAGUUCAAAUGGAGGGUAAUAUAGCAGGUUUUCCAGAAAAUAAUCAAAUAGUCCAAGUUACCCAAGAGCAAGGCGGGAAGUUCAUGGAGGGAAGGAUGCCGAGCGUCUAUGGGAAAAAGCCUCUCUACCCAGGUAGGGGCAAGGUUUGCGUAUACGCUACACUCCCAGACCCACUAAGUGGGACUAUACUAGGUGGUUGUUGUUGUUGUCCGUACAGUACGUAUGAAGCGUACACUUCUCUUGAGAAAAAUGAUCCGUCAUCUUUGAGGAGGUUUAUUAUGGUCCUUUAAUAUACACAAAAAACCUAAAAUUUUUGGUCUCCGUCCCUUUUUUAAAAGGGGAAAGGGCCAAAUGAACCCCUCAAUUUUGAGGCUCAAAUCGGUGAUAAAAUCAGGGCAAAGAAGACAAAGCAACCGCCAGGGCUGCAAACCUCGGUCGCACUAUAAAAAAAAAGGCCUUUCCGGGUCACCCCACCAAGAUACGGGCCGCUCCAUUGCCCCGACGCGAACUCUAGAUAACCUUAAUCAUCACAGCCUCAUCCAUUAUAAUAACAAUAAGAAUAAUGGUAAUAAUAGACUAACUAGUAUACCAUCACAACAUCCAACUUUUAUCACAUCGGAAUCGUACAUCAUUUUGACAUUCAUAAUUAUAUGGAAAUAAAUAUGAAGAUGGUAGCUGGCAUUUAAGAAAAAGAAAAAAGCAAGCACUUAAUCAAGGGCUUACCAGAAGGGGAUUGCCGGACCACAAGGGAUCGUAUGCAGUCUUACCCUACAUUUCUGCAAGAGGUUGUUUCUAUCGCUCGAACCCCCGACCUCCUGGUCAUAUGGAGGCAACUUUACCAGUUUGCUUUUGUCAUAAACAAAGGGGUGUUGGUUUUUUUGAUAAUGGAGGAAAAUCAAUGGCGGAACAGAGAGGGGCAACCAUCCCUUCAAUGAAAAUCUCAAAACUCUCUGUUUUGCCUCAUUUCUUUCUAGGCUAACCUUUUUGCAAUUCUAGAAGAAAUUCUCGUGGGUUUUUCACCCGCAAAUUUCAAAAUUUAACGGAAAAGAGCUCAUAAGUCUGCAUUUAAGAAAAUAACCUUCCAAUUGAGGCUCAGAUCUGUAACAUUUGAAGAUAAGGCAAGAGAUUGGAGACAUCGCCAUGGCUGCAAAUACUGGCUGCAAGACGUCACCGUGAGCUCAUAAGUCUGCAUUUAAGAAAAAUAACCUUCCAAUUGGGGCUCAGAUCUGUAACAUUUGAAGAUAAGGCAAGAGAUUGGAGACAUCGCCAUGGCUGCAAGACGUCACCGUCUGGGUUGCCCCGCCAAGAUACGGGUUCGAUUGUUCUCUUGCCCUAAUCGGUUUGCUCAGAGACAGAAGAAAAAUAUCAUCACAGCCUCAGGUUUUUGCUACAACUAUUAUUAUUAUUACUAUUGAUUCUCUUUUUGGAGUGAGGUUUUGGAGAUGAUAAGCAGAGAGUACAGUAACAGCCAAUCGAAAUACUUAAGGGGUCGUUUGGUUAGAGUACACUGCAGAAGGGCAUUUUUGGCAAAAAUGAAAUCACAGGAAUUGUAGAGAGGAGCAGCUGCCCUUGAGCUUCACUCUACUCUCUGCAACCCUCAUUCUGUCUCUGAGCUUUUAGUUUUCUGCUUUGUGUCAAAGAGAACCAUUUAAAGCAUCAAUUAUCUUGUCUUCCCCCCCCCCCCCCCCCAUACCGGGUUGCCACACCAAGAUAGAGGUUGGGUCAUCUCUAUGCCCCAAUCGGUCAGCCCAGAUACAAGAAACAUCAUCAUGCACACUCUUUAUGUAACUUCCAUCAGCAACAUAAACACACGCACACUCAGUAAACACAGAUUUCACUGGGAAAAAAAUUACAUUUCACUGAAAUUUCACAAUUCUUAUGUCCAAACGCUGUCUACUUCUGUCAUAAACAAGGUCUGUUGGUUUUUUCCUGAAAAUGAAGGAAAAUCAAUGGCUGAACAGAGAGGGGCAACCACCCUUCUAAUGAAAAUCCCAAUACUCUCUGUUUUGGCCUCAUUUCUUUCUCGGUUAACCUUAUUGCAUUGUUAGGGGAAAUUCUCGAGGGUUUUUCACCUGCGAAUUUCAAGAUUUUAACGGACAAGAGCUCAUAAGUCUGCAUUUAAGAUAAUGACCUUCCAAUUGAGGCUCAGAUCCGUAAUAUUGAGGCUAAGGCAAGAGAUUUGAGACACUGCCAUGGCUGCAAACACCGUUGCAAGUCGUCACCGAGUCGCCCCGCCAAGUUACAGGUCCAAUUGUUCUCCUACCUUGAUCAAUUUGCUCAGAGACUGAAGAAAAACUAUCAUCAUAGCCUCAGAUUUUUGCUACCCAUCCGGUUCACAAUAAAUGUCUAUUUUACUUUUAACACAUCAUUAAGAAAAUACUAAAUCUUAUACCAAAAUUACCUAGUAUAACUAAACUACCCUUAUUUAGUAAGCUAAUGUGACUGAGAGAGAAAACUUUUUUAGGGAUAUGCGUCAUAAGGGUAAAAGAGGAAAAACAAAUUGAAUUUUUUCUUGAUUACCUAACAAGACCCUUAUAUUUUGGACCAAAAUCAAAAUUAAAACACACUUAUUGUGGACAGGAGGGAGUAUUGUUAUUUGUUACUACUUCUAUUGAUUCUCUUUUUGGGAGUGAGGAUUUGGAGAUAGAGUAGAGUGGUCGUUUUUGGACAUAGUUUACUGCAGAAGGGCAUUUAUGGCAAAAAUGAACUCAUAGGUAUUGUAGAGAGGAGCAGCUGCCCUUGAACUUUCCUCCGCUCUCUGCUACCUCAUUCUUUGUCUCUGAUAUUUUAGUUUCCUGCUUCGCGUCAAAGAGAACCAUUUAAAGCAUCAACAAUUCUUGUUUUGCCCACUGACGUAUAACUUGAUUCCAUGCUUAGUAGCAAAAAAUAGUUGAAAUUCAAAGAAGAAUAAGAGCCCGUUUAGAGUAGCUGAUUAUGUUAGGUACAGAAAAGCUUAAAAAUGUGCUGAAAUUAAUAAUAAGAAGCUAAAGAAUAGGAUAUAACAAGAGUUGGCUUAUAGCUUAUUUUUGGCUUAUAAGCCCUUGCCAAAUCCGUACAUAAAGUAAAAAGUGGUUACAAGCCAAUUUAGCUUAUGAGCUUAGCCAAACAAGCUCCAAGUUUUAGACUUUUCUAUUUCACAGUACUUACAAGGCUCAGAUCUGCAAAGAGAGAUCGGGCAAAAGAGAGGCGACCGCGCCAUGGCUGCAAAGUCACCGGGUCCGAUUCCAUAGAAAAAGCCUCCGAAUCGGCAGCUAAUCGUCCGGUGAUUUGCCAAGCCAAGUUACGGGUCGGAUAGUCGAUAUGCCCGAUCCAAUUAGCCCAGAAUCCGGAUAAAAUAUCAUCACUGCCUCAAUUGUUAAUGUAUCAAAAAAGAGGAACUAAAAUCACAGAAACAGUGACAGAGAAAGAGAGAUCUGGCUGUUGUUGUUGAUUGAUUCUGAAGAAAUGAUUGUAUAGUAGUAUAUUUCCAUUUGUUCAAGGGUUGUUGAUUUUUGUUUUUAAAAAAAAACAGUUGAAAAGGAAAAUCAUUGGCUAAGCAGAGACGUAACCGCCCUUUAACAAAAAUCCCAAACUCUCUGUUUUUGCCUCAUUUCGUUUCUGGGCUAACUUUCUUCGCUGGGGAAAUACUUUGGUUUU
rnacentral:lncRNA from 1 species